AUGGAGGAGGAUUUUAUUCGCAGUUCUGGCCUUCCUUAUACCAUUAUCAGGGCUGAAAGAUUGACUGAUGGACCUUAUACUUCUUAUGAUUUAAAUACGCUUAUUAAAGCAACUGCUGGAGAAAGGAGAGCAGUAGUUAUAGGCCAAGGAGAUAAACUUGUGGGCGAGGUUAGUAGACUUGUAGUGGCAGAAGCCUGCAUACAAGCUCUCGAUAUAGACUUUACCAAGGG